rnacentral:lncRNA from 12 species
AUGCCAACAAACUCUAGCCUUUGUCUCACUCCUAUUUGUGGAGAGGUUAUGAAAGACCUGAUGUUCCAAUCUCCCCAUUUGAUGAAAACAACUCCAGUUGCCAGGUCGCAUGACCACAUCUGGAUCCCAUCCAUCUGUUGUUUUCCAUUUCCAAUCAGAACAGGGCUGGUGUCGUGCAAAGAUACCAAAAGCUGCAGCAACAAAUCAACCCAAGGAAGACCGGAGUAUCUCCCCGAGCGAGCUGAGCGCUGGUUCCUCCCCCAAAGUCGGGACUUUCCUGAUGGAACCAGAGGGCUUUCCAGGUUCUGGUCCCUUGGCUGGCCUCAUCGCCAGCUUUCUGUAAUUGUAGACAGCAUUCAGGCAUGUGCAAAGAACCCCAUUCACCCCAUUGGGCCAUCUGAGCCUCAGGCUAACCUUCCACAUGACCUAGCCUGCAGGAAUACUUGCUGGCUGGCCCAUUUACCACCAUCUCGAUGCUGGCCCCGGGCUGGGAGAUGUCACCCUAAGCAUCAGCAUCAUGCAAGAGGACCUGGAGACCCUGCUGGCCUUGGAAAGGGCUGAUAUCAUAGCUCAAUACCAUCAGGGAGAAGGAGCUGCCUGGCCCCAGCCCCCAUGAGGCCAAG